rnacentral:rRNA from 1 species
UACGGGGGGAGCAAGCGUUGUUCGGAUUUACUGGGCGUAAAGGGCGCGUAGGCGGCCACCGCAAGUCGACUGUGAAAUCUCCGGGCUUAACCCGGAAAGGUCAGCCGAUACUGCGGGGCUAGAGUGCAGAAGGGGCAACUGGAAUUCUCGGUGUGGCGGUGAAAUGCGCAGAUAUCAGGAAGAACACCUAUGGCGAAGGCAGCUCUCUGGGACGGUACUGACGCUGAGACGCGAAAGCGUGGGGAGCGAACAGG